rnacentral:misc_RNA from 1 species
GAUGAAGAACGUAGCGAAAUGCGAUAAGUAAUGUGAAUUGCAGAAUUCAGUGAAUCAUCGAAUCUUUGAACGCACAUUGCGCCCGCCAGUAUUCUGGCGGGCAUGCCUGUUCGAGCGUCAUUUCAACCCUCAAGCUCAGCUUGGUGUUGGGGCCUGCUGCACUGGCAGCCCUUAAAAUCAGUGGCGGCGCCAUCUGGCUCUAAGCGUAGUAAUUCUUCUCGCUAUGGAGUCCUGGUGGAUGCUUGCCAUCAACCCCCAAUUUUUCUAUGGUUGACCUCGGAUCAGGUAGGGAUACCCGCUGAACUUAAGCAUAUCAAUAAGCGGAGGA